UGGGGAUAAUGCAGACUCCCCAUCAGACGUUGAACGUCCAAGAUCUGC
rfam:Proteobacteria bacterium SG_bin9 2136, whole genome shotgun sequence.